UGGCGAUCUACACAAAACAAGCCUUGAUUUAGGCUUUCAGAAAAGACACUUUUGUUUUUAUGAAAUGAUGUGUUUGUAUGAGAUUAUGCCGGGGAAGGUUUUCCGGUUUAUCCCGGAGGGCUUGUAGCUCAGUUGGUUAGAGCGCGCGCUUGAUAAGCGUGAGGUCGGAGGUUCAACCCCUCCCAGGCCCACCAAUUACUCCAUUUACUUUAUCUCUUCCUUUAACUCAAUGUGUAGAUGUAGAUAACAGUUUUAUGAAAGGAUUAUGGCGCUUAUCCAUUUCGCUUAAGUACUCCAAAGUUAACUCAGUGCAAACGUAAAACGAUGCAAAUUUUCUACAAAUUUUGCACUGUUUAUAUUUAACGUUAGGGAGUAUAUUUACAUUUUGGAGUCUUUUAUCCUGUUUUAGGGGCCGUAGCUCAGCUGGGAGAGCACCUGCUUUGCAAGCAGGGGGUCGUCGGUUC
rnacentral:misc_RNA from 1 species